rnacentral:rRNA from 1 species
CAGGUAGGCGGCUCUGUGUGUCCUUUGUGAAAGCCCUCGGCUCAACCGAGGAACUGCAGGGGAAACUGCGGGGCUUGAGUCCGGGAGAGGGUAGUGGAAUUCCCAGUGUAGCGGUGAAAUGCGUAGAUAUUGGGAGGAACACCAGUGGCGAAGGCGGCUACCUGGACCGGUACUGACGCUGAGCUGCGAAAGCUAGGGGAGCAAACA